rnacentral:rRNA from 1 species
UAUUAUAGUAAGUGUAUUAAUUAAAUACUUGAGUAGUAAUAGUUAUGAUCUUGAAACUCAAAGAAUUUGGCGGUGUUUUAGUCCUUUCAGAGGAACCUGUCCUGUAAUCGACGACACACGAUUAGUCAUACUUUUUUUUGUUUAUCAGUUUGUAUACCGCCGUCAUAAGAUUAUCUUGUAGAGAGAUUUAAAUUUCUUUAUUUUUGAUUGAAAAGUAUGUCAGGUCAAGGUGCAGUUUAUGGGAAAGAAGAGAUGGGUUACAAUAACGUUAGUUAAAUGGAUGAAUUAUUAAUAGGAUUCUUGAAGGUGGAUUUGAUUGUAAAUUUGAUUAUAUAUGGAUAUUUUGAUUAGGGCUCUAAAAUGUGCACACAUCGCCCGUCGCUCUCGUUUUUAUAUGAG